rnacentral:misc_RNA from 1 species
UUGAAUUUUAAUGAAGAGUUUGGUUGUAGCUGGCCCAUUCAUUUGGGCAUGUGCACACCUUCCUCUUCCAUCCCACACACACCUGUGAACCUGUGAGACAGAGAUGGGGAAUUUACUUGCUGCUUUUUGGAAUACAAAGGCAAUAGGUUAUUGGACCCCCCCUCUGUCUACUCAAUUAAUAUAAACUCAAUUUAUUUUAAAACGAAUGUAAUGGAUGUAACACAUCUCAUAC